GCAACCAAUGAAUCUAGAUUAUUUGAGGUAACAAUGGCCGUCAGACUAUUCGUUUUGAUAUAUAGUUUUAAAUGUGUAAUGGGAAAACGCGAAGGGUUUAUAGUCGGGGGUGACUAUGUUCGAAAUUUGACAUAUUUUCCUUGGGCGGGAUUUCUGUUGUUUACGGGCUACGACGACUCCUAUGGCUGUGGCUCAUCUAUUUUAAAUCAAGAUAUACUGAUAACUGCCGCGAAUUGUUUUACGUUUAAUGGAUUUUUCGAGAUAACAGCUACCGUUGGUCACGUGGAUAAGUAUCUAGGAUAUGUUUACCGCGUCGAAGCAUACAAGCUCCACAGCGAAUGGAAUGUAUUUACCAUGAGCCACGACAUAGCUUUGUGCAAACUGAAAAAAAGCCUGUAUUUAAGAAAUUAUGUGAAGAGAUUGAUACUUAUGGAGCGUCCACCGAAGGAAAAGACAGCUGAACUGGUCGGAUGGGGCGCAAUCGAAGAAAUUAGAUUCAAGGAUACAAAACAGAUAAAAACCGUAUACCAGAAAUUGUGGACUCGAGAACAAUGCAAUAAAGUCUUAUACCAAUUACCCGAAGGAACUAUUUGCGGAGGGGAAGCAAAUGGUAGUGAUUUCCCUUCUAGUGGAGAUACAGGCAGCGGCCUCGUAAUUAGGCGACUGAUAAUCGUUGGGGUGUACUCGUACAAAGACAUCCGGGUGUCGCGCAGUCUGGGAGUCUACACCAACGUCUCACACUUCUACGGUUGGAUUAAACGCAGCUCGAGACAAUUAAAGUGCGACUAGGAAGAAAUCACAUUAAGUAUAUUUUGAUUUGUUUUGUU